CACGCUUCCGGGGCCGAGGACCGCAGGGUGCCACCGGAUACGGAGGCUCGCGCUUCGGCGCGACACGCCCUAAGGAUGCUGGGGACUUGGCCUUAAUCGACCCGUCUUGAAACACGGACCAAGGAGUCUAACAAGGAUGCGAGUAGGCGGGUGGCAAACCCGUAUGCGCAAUGGAAGUGAGAGGUGGGAGCCGCAAGGCGCACCAUCGACCGACCGGAAAGCGCUUGCGCGGAACGGAUCGAGUAGGAGCAUGAUUGUUGGGACCCGAAAGAUGGUGAACUAUGCCUGAGCAGGAUGAAGCCAGGGGAAACUCUGGUGGAGGUCCGUAGCGAUACUGACGUGCAAAUCGUUCGUCAGACUUGGGUAUAGGGGCGAAAGACUAAUCGAACCAUCUAGUAGCUGGUUCCCUCCGAAAUGUCCCUCAGGACAGCUUUGCCCGUAGUGCAGUUUUAUCCGGUCAAGCGAAUGAUUAGAGGUCUUAGGGUUGAAACGACCUUAACCUAUUCUCAAACUUUUAAUGGGUAAGCAGAGGGUGUUACUUGAGUGAACCCUUCUGACAAAUGCGUGGGCAAAAGUGGGCCAUUUUUGGUAAGCAGAACUGGCGAUGCGGGAUGAACCGAACGGCGAGGUAAGGUGCCGAACUGUGCGCUUGAUAGAUAUUAUAAAAGGUGUGGGUUCAUUUAGAUAGUUAGAUGGUGGUUAUGGAAGUUGGU
rnacentral:rRNA from 1 species